rnacentral:rRNA from 1 species
AGUUUGAUCCUGGCUCAGGAUGAACGCUGGCGGCGUGCUUAACACAUGCAAGUCGAACGGUGAAGCCCAGCUUGCUGGGUGGAUCAGUGGCGAACGGGUGAGUAACACGUGAGCAACCUGCCCCUGACUCUGGGAUAAGCGCUGGAAACGGCGUCUAAUACUGGAUAUGAGACGUGACCGCAUGGUCGACGUUUGGAAAGAUUUUUCGGUUGGGGAUGGGCUCGCGGCCUAUCAGCUUGUUGGUGAGGUAAUGGCUCACCAAGGCGUCGACGGGUAGCCGGCCUGAGAGGGUGACCGGCCACACUGGGACUGAGACACGGCCCAGACUCCUACGGGAGGCAGCAGUGGGGAAUAUUGCACAAUGGGCGAAAGCCUGAUGCAGCAACGCCGCGUGAGGGACGACGGCCUUCGGGUUGUAAACCUCUUUUAGCAAGGAAGAAGCGAA